UUUUUUUUUUUUUUGUUUGGAUGGUUUUUAAUUCUGAUUGCGCCAACUAAAACUGUUUCCAUCUUUCCAAUCAAAACCUUCCUUUUAUUUCCCAUCCAGAACAUCCAGUCCCUGAGCAAGUGUGUAUAAAAUUAAGUCCAAGGUGUUUCCAAAUGCUUCUGGAGGUGUUUCAGGGUGUCUCAGGACCUUUUUUUUCAUCCUUGGGCAGAGGAAAAUGUUCCCAGGAGAUAUUGGAACAUAAUAAUAAUUUUUGUCUUUCUAUUUUAAUAAAUAAUAAUAUUUAAAA